GGAGGGGUGGCCGAGUGGCUGAAGGCGGCGGUUUGCUAAACCGUUAUAGGGAACGAAAGUCCCUAUCGGGGGUUCGAAUCCCCCCUCCUCCGCCA
rnacentral:tRNA from 6 species